AGACACCAGUGAGGAUUGAACUCACGACCCCUGGUUUACAAGAUCAGUGCUCCUAACACUGAGCUAUGGCGGC
rnacentral:tRNA from 13 species